CUGGGAGGUCUGGGACAUCAUACUGCUUGUUUUUUCAAGCACUCUUCUGUAGCAAAAGUAAUACCAGGAGUGGAAGGCCUUCCCUGGGCAGCCAGCAGAGGGGAGGAAGUACUGGGGUCUGCUGGCACAGCAGAGCUUGCCAAGGGAGAUCUCGAGUCCAGAUCUGGCUGGUUGCAGCAGUUUUGUUAUGGCAUUAUGCAAAGUCCUUUGAAGAUUUCCUCUUGGCAGAGCCUGCCGCGUCAUCACAGAGGUAGAGCAGGGAAUGAUCUAAAUCUUGUUAGGCGUUGUGAAGCAGUCAGAACAGCUGGCUGCAAAAUUAGCCCCUCAACAAAGAAGGAAGCGAGGGGGUUGUAAGCCUGAAAGAGUAGGGGUGAGGCUGUUAGUGAUACAGGACACAGUGCAGCAGGGGGCUGGGGCAGGUUGGCUCUGGCUUGAGAUGUGAAUGAAAGCAAGUGAAGGUGAGUUAAGGUAUUCAGGGAAAGGGGAGAUGAGCACAAUGAAGUCGAUAUAUGGAACAGCUCCUUUUUCUGAAGUUCCACGAUGUUCACCUAAGUGCAGUGAUCUUCAUGUCCUUCUAAUUCCCCUCUUUGCAAUCUCACAAAUCAAGGGGAUGGCUUUGCUUUUACCUGCUGUUGCAUACUGUUGGUAACUCACGGUGGUCUCCCAAGGUGACUGCCCACACCUGGGGCUGGUCAUGCUCUGACUGUGCAGGUGACAGAGCCUUGGCCAGGACACAUUCUGUGCUUGUGUUCCUGCCAUUUCCCCUCACUCUGGGGUGUCACAUCCUCAGGGCCCCAGCACAGAGGUCUUUAGCUUCACAGCGAUGUCUUUCACACCUUCCCCACCAUAUGCUUCUCUUGCUUCCCUUUCCUGCCAAAGUACAUCCCCAACUUCUCUGUCCGCAUUUGCUCCUCCUCUGUCUCUAAUGAGGCAAAUGUUAAAGCUCAGCAAAGGAUAUCUGUUGAGCUCUGAGGAUUGCUGGUGGGAGAAACCCCACGGGUGGCUGAAAAUGUUUCAGCAUCCCCCUUCUUACUUUUCAUUUACAUCUCGUCUCUGCAGAGUGGGUAGUGUUCCUUGGAAACAGCAACACUUAUAUACGUUACUAUAUUACUUAUAUACAUUAACUAUAUUACAUAUAGUACGAGGGCUGCUCCGAAUGUAGUACCUCCCAUUUUAUGAUGUCAACCUACAAAGUCAGAGGCAGAUGUUGGUGGUGUGACAGUAGAGGUUGAACCUUCUCACUAAUAUUCCAUUACAUGUUGUUGCCACGUGACAGAUGGCAGCAAGAGGGGCAGUCUGACAGAAUGGCACUUGAAGAAGAUGGAAGAGCAUAUGAAGCAAAGGUAUGUCACUGAAUUCCUCCGUGUGGAAAAAAUGGCACCCAUUGACAUUCAUCAGUGCUGGCUGAACAUUUAUGGAGACCAAACAGUAGAUGUGAGCACAGUGAGUGAUGUUACGACAGCAGCAGUGGGUCACUUGCGCUAGUACAGACUGUUACGUGCAUGGCAUAGAGGUUCUUGUUCAUUGCUAGUGAAGAUGGAUAGCUAAUGAUGGUGACUAUGAUGAAAAAGAAUGUCUUGUAGCUGAGAAUUUGCUCUAUCAAAUACUGUUGUUGUGCUCUUUGUAUCUGCUGUAGUUUCCACGGAAAUAAGAAGGCAUUACUUUUGGAACAACCACUGUAGAUGCAGCCCUGGAUAAUUCCUCUUCACCCAAUGUGGCCCAGCGACCAGCAGCAGAGACGCUGUCCUGCCCGUCCCACAUUGUUUUCCCUGUGGCUUGGAAAGCCCAAAAGUCUCUGGUGAAACCUUUGAAAGCUGCUUCUUUAAAGGGCCUGAAAACCUCCACCCCAGCAAAACCCCCAGGCUGGGGCUCUUCACUGAAGACCCACGUUGCAUCCGAGGACAAGGCUUUUUCUUCCCAAGGGGGUCCUGCUGUGCGUGGAAAUAUGAAAGAUGCCCUCGAAAAGAAACAAACCCUUCAGGUUGCAGUAGAGACGGAGUGGGGCUGAACAUCAAUUUCAGCUUUCAAGUGACUUUACGCUGUCUCCUUGAUUGACUUGCCAGUUUUAAUACUGUAAAUUGAGGGAUUGCGUGUAAUGCAUUCAUGCCGUUCUUGUCUGGAAUGAAGCAGGAACAUAAUUUAUGGGGAUAUUCUCAUCUCAGCCUUUGAGGAAUUAGCUUCAAUUAACUCUGUUGGGAAUUGCAUGUGUCGGGUGUCAGAAAGCCAUCAAGUUUUCUUUAGAAAUGCCUGCUGCUGCGCACAUUUCAUUCUUUGGCUGUCUGAAGGGUUUUAGCAGUGGAUAAGGAUUCAAAGCUUGGGAAACUCAGAUCCGGGUGACCAAGUUUCACAGGGUUAAUACAGAGCACGGAUGAUGGACAGGGCUGCAGCCCAUUAGGAUUUAUAGCCCUCCAGUACGAGCAGGAGAGUUUUGGGGGAGGGUCGAGCAGCUCCUGAACCCAGUGUGCAGAAUGAGCAAACAAACCAGGAGACAGGCUGGAAAAUAAGAUCUCGGUGGAUAAAUCUUACUGACACCCAUGAGAAUAAGAAAGAGCAUUGGCUUCGGGUGCCAUUUUGAAACAGAGACUCCUCAGCACUGGGUUUCUGUGCUGGUGGGGACAGAUUCAGGCAGAGAUGUCUGAUGCUUCUUGAAGGCCAAAAAUCCCCCCUCCUGGCCCUUAAUCAGCACUUCAUUAUCAGCUGCCACCCCCAGAUCAGCCACCAGCCUCACUUUGUGGGUGCAAACUGUUUCCCAGAGAUGCCCUCACACCUAAAGGGCCAAUUCUCCAUCCCCAGCUUAUCCCGAGGAUUAAAAACCCACCCAAGCGCCAUCUGAGCAAAUCCAAACCAGGAAUCCUAAUCAGUUCUGUUGCUAAAAGUGCAUUAAUGCGACACAAGAGAGAGCGUGGCUUUCUUCCAGCGGAUCCAACAAUCACAGCUCAUUUGGGUGAGGGAUUUUUCUGCUGCUGUGUAUUGACACAAAGGAGCACUUAGCUUGAUAAUGCCUCCUGGCUGCUGCCACGAUGCGAAUAUUAAGAACAAAUUAAGGUGUAAGACUAAGCUCUAGGUGUUGUUACCUGUUCACGGUGAGGUAGCAGUUGCUUCUUUAGCUUUUUCACACCAAAAUAUUGGCUCUCAGCGCUCAGGAGUUUAAAAAUAAAAUUGAGCUCCUACCUAUCGCAGGAAACAAUUAGGAUGCGAGGUCUCUUUUUAAUAUUUCUUCUGUGGUGUUUCUAAUCUGCAGUUUAAUCUGACAUGGUGUGAAGUAGGACCGGCUGCAAUCCCCAUGAAUCCAGCUGGUCGGGAUGACUUGCUCACUGAGCUGGUUGAAAGCAGUGCGGACACAGCAGCUCGCAUAAAUUGAAUGCCAGCUUGAUGUUUGUCAUGGCCACAGAAAUCCUGAGGCUGAGACUGGUGUCAGCAUGGGGAUUGUCCUGCACCAGAGUUCUGCUGCCUGGACUGGCUGAUCUUGGGGUGUUUGCCACUCUGAAUCCCACUUAGGGUGGCAGUGGCAAAGGUGAAAGUAGUUGCUCAAAUUCUCCGAAGUCAAACUGUAUUGACCCUCAGUUAGGUGUAAAGUUUGUUUGCCUACAUGUACCCUUGACAUGACACCUAACUGAGUGGUGCAGCUGAUAGAUCAGAAGGAAGGGAUGGCACCCAGGAGGACCUGGGCAGGCUUUAAAAGUGGGCCCACAUGAAACCAGUGAAGUUCAACAAGGCCAAGUGCAAGGUACUACUCUUGAAUCAGGAUGAUCCCAGCUGUGGGUACUGGGAGAAGAACUCAUUGUGAGCAGCCCUGCCGAAAAGAACAUGGGGGUUCUGGUGGACAAGAAGCUGAGCAUGAGCCUGCAGUGUGUGCUUGCAGCCCAGAAGACCAGCUGUGUCCUGGGCUGCAUCAAGAGAGGGGUGACACUGGGACAAGGAGGGGAUUGUCCCCCUCUGUUCUGCCUUUGUGAGGCUUCAUCUGCAGUACUGCAUCCAGGCCUGGGGCCUCCAGCACAGAAAGGAUGAGGAGCUGUUAGAGCAGGUCCAGAAGAUUCCACAAAGAUGCUUAGAGGGAUGAAGCACCUCUUCCAUGAAGAAAGGUUGAAGGAAGUGGGCUUGUUCAGCCUGGAGAAGAGAAGGCUCCAGGGAGACCUUAUCGUGGCCUUGCAGUACUUGAUGGGAGAUUAUAAGCAGGAGGGAGACUGGCUUUUUACACAGUCUGAUAGUGGUAUGAUAAGAGGGAAUGGCUUUAUGAGGGGAGAUUUAGGUUAGAUGUUAGAAAGAAUUUUUUUACUCAGAGGAUGGUGAGGCUCUGGCACUGCUGCCCAGAGCUGUGGGUGCCCCAUUACCAACCAAAGCCAUUCUGUCAUUAAUAGUUGCAGAAAGAUGAGUGAUUGGGAUGAAAGAGGUGUCUUCUGGGUUACUGAGUGCUGGCGACAAAGCUGGCCAAACACCCUGCCUCCAGAAAUGAUCUCAGCAGUAUGUGCAGCAUAGUCAAACCUAGGGGACUGGAAGGAACAGGGAGAAAUGAGCAACAGAACAAAGCUAGGCUUGCUUUGGAAAUACUUCAGCUAAGUAAACACAUCUAAAACUAAUCUGCUCUCUAGUGAGACGGGGAAGCUGGAAAAAGCAUGGUGAAGCUUUGGUGGCUGACCAUAUGAAGGAUGAGUUCUAGGAGAUGACAGAACAGCUGCUGGGUGACAGGCUGGGAUGUACACGCUCAGUGCUGGGGAGAACAUGGGCUGCAAGUCCAUUGGCUUUCUGACCCUUCUGGGUGGCACCUUGUCCCCUCCUUGGCACCCGCCUACAACACGGCGGUGAUGAGUGGCAGGAAUUUGGAGAAUAGCACCGGCAGUGUGCUGGAGAGGAUGUGCUGGAGAGGAUGAUUUACGUAUGCAAUGCUGACAAGGAGAUGUGUGCAUAGCUUAGCUAAGCACCAGUCUGACACUGGAGGAGAGGAGGGGAGAGGUUAGGUAAGAGCAGCAGUCAUUGGAAAGCCUGAAGUGCUGGUAAGGAAGGAGGGAUAUUUUCGUUGGUGAGAGAGAGAAUGAGGAAAACAAUGGCAUGGCAACCAACAAAGAAAAGUGCAGUGAGGACAUCUGAUAUGGCAUUUAAUGGCUUUCCAAAGGGAAUGGCUGAAGUUCCAUAAACACAAAAUUUGAACAUUACACAGCAAAUAUGGUGUCAGGAAUUGUCCGGGGAUGAGGAUGGAGAGGAAUUUGGAAGCUUCCCCCACCCUGCUUUGACAAUUGCCCUGCAGCAUCCUGCCCUACCCAGCGGUACCGGAGGACUGCUUGUUCUUAGCAGCCCUGGCAGCAUGAAGUGAAACAUCUUCCUUCCAAAGAUACAGGGGGAUUUGGGAAGAGAUCUCCUCCAGGCAGGUGAACUCCAGUAGGCUUCAGUGUGAGAUCCUCAGCUUCUGACAGAAGAGCAAUUUGCCACACUUCUAUCACUGAGGGACCAAGAACAUGUGGACCACUGUUGCAUGAGCAGUAGGUGGCUGCUCGAGGAGAACAUCUCACCUCUAAGCACGUGACAGAGUGUGCCAGGAGGAGACAAUGCUGUGCUGGUAUGUGUGAGCUGCACAGGG
ensembl:lncRNA